GGCCGCACCUGUGGCAUAGGGAGGUUCCCAGGCUAGGGGUCAAAUCAGAACUGCAGCUGCCAGCCCACACCAGAGCCACAGCAACAGAGGAUCCUAGCCAUGUCACGACUCACGGCAAUGCCAGAUCCUUAACCCACUGAGCGAGGCCAGGGAUCAAACCUCAUCCUCAUGGAUGCUAGUGGAGUUCAUUAACCCCUGAGCCAUGAUGGGAACUCCAGAGCCAGUGUACUUAAUUGCUAUUCUAUCCUCCUUUCCCAAACUUUACUUGAAGAAUUGUAUGUGUAUUCACAGUAUACCAAAUCAUUUCAUUGUUGCAUAAUCCUUAUGACUACCCAACCACAUGAGGUGGAAAGUGUUACUAUUGUUCCAUUUUACAGAUACAAAAAUGAGGCUCAGAGGGUAAAGCAACUUGCUCAACGUCACAUGACUAGCAGGUUCCAGAGCCAAGCUUCAAAAUCAGGUCCACCCCACUGCAUGGCUUAUGCUCUAAGACUACUUCUUCUGAAAAUUCUUUUAUAAAAAUAAGGAGCAAUCAGAUGAAAAAGUAACAAUGAACAAAGGAGAAGGACAAAAAUGCAGAUAUUCUGCUAGAGGGUUAGACUUGGAAGAGAGGAGCUCUUUGUCCCAUGGUCUCUGGGAGUGUUCAUGGCACAGAACCCUGAAUUGCCUGUCCACUUUGGAGCCCAACCCAUGGACUAGGAAAUUCCAACCUGCAUGCACAAGCACAGCCAUAAGCAUGCACACUUGUCACCGUAACAUGUGGCUUGUGCAGCCAUGUUUGGAUAUUCACAGGCACGUGCUAUAUCCAUGCCACAUACCUUGAAAUCCCAGCCCCUCGGGAAUACCUUGCGAAAGUCACCUUGUGGCAGGUGGUCCUCCACUACCCCAAAAGGCCGUCACCACAGGAUUAAACAACCUCUGUUGAAAAGUGUUUUCUAGUCAAAAGAGGUUUUAGCAGCUAAAGUGCAGGUAUAAAGGUCAGUUCCCCACUCAAGGGAUGGCCAAGCCAGGGGAAAGGACAGAAGUCUGGGGAGGGGCUGCCGGGAGGGGAAUGACAUUUGAAAGCAUGCAUCUCUUUAAGCUGCCUGCAGAGCUGCUGUGCUCAAGGGAAAGCCUGGAUCCCAGGAGACUUGGUCUUUUUGCAUUUACAUGAUAAGCCCCUCUGCACAAAGCAAGCAUCAACUAACCUGCAAGGAAAGGAAAACACAGAACAAACUCCUCCAAGGAAAGCACCCCAGGAAAGCACAGAGUGAACUCUUCCAAGAGCUGGGACAUCCAGGAGAAGGUCUCAAACCACCAGUGUGGACCCCUUCCAAGGCAUCUUUGACUCACACUGAACCCUGACAUCCCUGAGGAUACUUACAAGCCCAAAGAAACCUUGUUGCCUAGCUACUCCUGGACCACAGUGUAUUUGCAAGAUGGGGUGCAUAGAGAGGAGGCCCGGCCACUCCCAUCUGCUUGUUGAACUCCAGUUCCACAAGGCCCUGUCAACCAGGGCAGGACCCUAGGACCAUCCAGCCUCCCCAUCUCUCACACCCUCAGGCACACAGCCCUGCUGCUUCUGCCUUUUCAUUCUCUCCCAGGUCUGUCCUUUUCUCUCUGUCCCAACUGAUAGAGUCCUUGUCCAGACUUUACUCAGGCUCCUCAGAAUCCACUUUCCAACUACACCAUGACUUGCGGGUUCCUGCAUUCAUCUCUGCAUCAUCCUAUUUUAGCAAGAACUCUGCUACAUUUUAGCCUGAUCCCCCAGCCCCAAUUCUCAGUGUCUGAUGAUGCUUCAGCAAGAAUCCUGUUAGAUCAAUUUGGCCAGAAUCCCCCCUUACCCCUGGUGAUUUUUCCAUCCACUGAUCCCCACCUUGCUCCCUGGCUAUAAAUUUCCAUUUGUCUUGCUGUAUUUGGAAUUCUGCCCAGUUCUAUAGAGAGGUCUCUUUUCCCCUAUUGCAACAGUCUUGAAUAAAAUCUGCUCUUUCUACUUUAGCUACUGCCCAGCUCUGUUUUGGUUUGGUUUGAUUUGGUUUUUACAGAACCAUACAUACCCCUACUGCCCUUGGCCCUGCAGCAUCAUCUCUUGCAUGUACCCCCCAUGAGGAUCGCCCAGCAUUCAUUAUCUCAGAACCUACAAUCACUAUAGUUGUCCAGCACAAGUCAAAUCCUGCUACUGUGAUGCUUUAUGAUGUAACAUGACCCCCUUUGUCCACUAGAUAAACCCAGAAUCUUGACUUGAGCUUCAAGGUCCUUCACAACCCAGGACAAGCCAACUUACCUGGCAGUAUCUCCUGCCCAACCUCUUCAAACACUAUGAUCUCUAGCCACAUAAACACACCAUCUCCCAGAAUAGCCCGUGGUAUCCACUGCAGUAGAUAUCCUGAAUAUUACUGACUUCUUCCCAGGUUUUUAAUCCCUCCAUCUUAUAAACUUCUGGAAGAACUGGCAUAGAACAAGCACUGAGUGAAAUUUUAGAUCAUAGAGGUGGGUGAGUAGAUUAUGGAUGGAUGAGAAGUCUUUUACCAGCUAUUGUCAUUUUCAUCUGAUGCCUCUCUGGAAUACAAGCACCCUGAUCGGACAUUUUCAAACACAAAGGUUGCUUGGCCUCUACUUUUAUUUUUUUAAUUUUUAUUUAUUUUAUUUUAUUUUUUAAAUUUUCUUUGGUCUUUUUGCCAUUUCUUGGGCCGCUCUCACAGCAUAUGGAGGUUCCCAGGCUAGGGGUUGAAUCAGAGCUGCAGCCACCGGCCUAUGCCAGAGCCACAGCAAUGUGGGAUCAGAGCCACGUCUGCAACCUACACCACAGCCCAUGGCAACGUCGGAUCGUCAACCCACUGGGCAAGGCCAGGGAUCAAACCUGCAACCUCAUGGUUCCUAGUCAGAUUUGUUAACCACUGUGCCACGACAGGAACUCCAGACUCUACUUUUAAACUGAUGAAUAUGGAGUUCCCAUCAUGGCUCAGCAGUUAAUGAACCCGACUAGCAUCCAUGAUGACAAGGGUUCCAUCCCUGGCCUCGCUCAGUGGGUUAAAGAUCUGGCAUUGCCGUGAACCUUGGUGUAGGUCACAGACACAGCUUGGACCCUGCAUUGCUGUCGCUCUGGCGUAGGCCGGAGGCUACAGCUCCAACUGGACCCCUUGCCUGGGAACCUCCAUAUGCUGCAGGUGUAGCCCUAAGAAGACAAAAAUAAAUAAAUAAACGGAUGAAUAUGAAAGAUGAAAAUAACAAUACCUACAUUGUAGAGCAGUUGUGAGGAUUAAAUGAGAAAACAUACAGAAAGUAGUUAGCUUGGUCCUCAAUAUACAGUGCACAAUAAAGGGUAGCCAUUGUGGAUGGAAUCAGCUCCUAAGUAUAAGCCCCUUUGCUUUCCAAUGGACAGGACCCAGGUGCUCCAGCCUCUCCUAGUUUGGGUGAGACGAAUCUUUCUCCAAGGCUGGAGUGAAGGUAGAGGGCAGCCACAGAGGAAUUCCUGGCCUACUUUGUGCAAUUUUGGGCUCAGGCAAGGCCCCAGACAGUAAGUGAUACAAAGAGCACUCCAAGCCAGCUGCAGAUAAUGAGGCCCGGGGGACAGGCUGCCUGGGGUGGCUUUCUCCAGCAAGGACUGCUCGACCUAAAGGCCCAGGGCUUUCACUCAGCCUCUGGCAGUGCUCAUGGCUCAGGCCUCUGAAAGUUCCCAGGCAUGUUUCCUGUUCCAAAAGAAAAAGACAGAAAGGAAGGAAGGCAGGAAGGAAGAAAAGAAAAAAGGGAAGGCAACCUCUGACCUCCCAGGCUGGAGGGAAGCUCCUCUCCAAUACCCAACUGGAAAGUCAAAGAGAGUUAAGACAAUGCUUACUCACAUAACUCAAAGGCCCAUGUGUCCAAGCCAGUCCUCUAGCUCCUGCUAUCAUGAUUCUUAGGGUCCUCACAGGUCUCCCUGCAUCCAUACACUCCCCUCUAGCCCAUCUUCCACACAGCCCCGAGGGUGAGCAGCACACGCAUUGAGUCUCUCCUCCCCAGCCUACAGUCCAUUCAGUGGAGGGUCCCUAUUGCCUUCCAGAUAAAGUCCAAAUUCCUUGGUAUGGUGUUCAAGGCCCUCUUCAGAACCUUUCCAUCCUCUCACCCUGGCCCAUGUACUCUGCCUGCCAUUUCUGGAAUACACCAGUUUGCUCACACUUACAGGCAUCUGUGUAUGUUCUUCCCUCUGCCUGGAGUACCCCAAUCACUCAGCAAUGAAAUGGCGAAGCCAGGACUCCAGGCCUCUCCUUUUGAUUCUGAGUUCCACACUCCUUGGAUAGGAAGGGCUUGAGAACUCCAGAACAGCCCAGUUCCAUGGUGCUAAAAUGUCAGGGAAGACCGUUUCCAGUUCUCACACUCCAGAUGCUCUGGAUUUGCCCUCAUUAUAAAUCACCAUGUGACAUUGUGAGUACCUCAUUGGUCGGUAGUUACCCAAAUAAAGUCAGCACAGGCUACGAUCUGCAUCUCCAAGGGUCUGAAUGGCUCAGCUGUAAGCAGGAAGACAAGCUGACAUUUUCAAUUAACCUUGUUCUUACCCUGAGUCACUGUGCACUGCCUGACACACCCUCAUGGGACUGCAGAGGCAGGGGUCCAGGAGUGAGGGCAGACCAUGGCACCCCAAGUGCAAGGAAGCCCCUCUCCAACACCCAUUUGGUAAGACAUUGAGAAUUAAGACAAAGCUGCUCCACCCAACACAAAAAUUCUAGUCCCGGCUAGCCCUCUGGUCCCUACCACUCUGCUCACAGGAACCUCUCUGCAGCCUCAGCUCCCUCUGACAUAUUCUGGGGCACUUGGGCUAGGGACCUCUCUGUUUGCCAGGAGCAGGGCCUCUGAUGGCCUCCUGGUCAUGUGGCCAAAAUCCUCACUCCCUUCCAUCAAUAACAGCUCCACACAUCCAAACAGGUUUUGAAUUGCAAUACAUGUCAGGCACACAAGAGUAAAUACGUACACAGCUUAUCUCUUUUCCCAGCCCAACAAACUCUACUUUUGCAUGCUAAAUCUCCUAUUCAAG
rnacentral:lncRNA from 1 species